rnacentral:lncRNA from 1 species
GGUGUGUACCUUUAAAUCCAAACCUGGGUAAGCAGGCUGAUCUCUGAGCUCAAGGUCAGCCUAAUCUACAGAGCAAGUUCCAGGACAGCCAGGGCCACACAGAAAUAAAAAAACAAAACAAAAAAUGAACACCAGGCAGAAACUGGAUCCCAUGAAUAUAAAUGGUAGCAAAAACUAAAGUUUCUAAAAAGAUAACAAAAGGUGUAACUUCAUAUUUUAAGUAUGUAACUAUCUCCUAAGUUUGGUAAAUAAAGUACUUCAACAAGUAACACAGACCAGAAAGAAAAAAAAAAAAAAAAAAAAGAUCCCCAAACAGAAAUAAAAUAGUCAACCCUAGAGACUGGAACAGCUUUAGAAAUUCAACAGACACCAAAUUUGAGAUUUUUCUUUUUAUUCAACUUUAAUUUUAUAUAUGUAAGAUAAUUUCAAAAUCUGUUGGGUCAAUAAAUGUUAAAGUAUAAGCUGUAAAAAUAUAUAUAUUUGAAACUGUAAAAGAUCCAAUUUGAAUGUAAGAAAGCCUUUACAAAAUUUCUGGUAAAACUUUUAACAUUCAAAUUCAGACUAGAAUUCUGCAAAGUCAGAUUAACAACCUUUAACGUUGAAAUGUUGGUACAUAAUUUUAAAAAAUGCCCACCACAUUGAAGAGAUUCAUGCUAUUAGUGUGUACCACACUGAGGUAAGUUUGUCAACCGGUUUAGUCAUCUGCACUAUUACUGUAAGUGCACACAUAGCCACUGGGCUUCUAAACCACACAGACAGCUAAGGCAAAUUUGCUCUUAAAUGGACAUUUUAAACAAAAAGUACAAUUUAUGUCAAGGUGGGUGGGGCAUGAGGUCAUGAUUCUUCAACCUGGCAAUGAGCUCAAUAAGCUUUAAAGUUUUUAGACUUAAUUGAUUCAACCUAAAAAACCAGUAUUUACAAAUACACACUUUUAUUCACAAGCAUAUAAAUCAAAAUAUUGUACAAGAAUAAAACUUUUAUGUGCAGUGCAAAUUCUCCAUCCCACAGGUUUAAUCUAUCUAUCUAGUUAUUUAUUUACUUACUUAUUUUGUGGUACUAGGAACUGAACCUAGAGCCUCAUGUAUGCUAGGCAAGUGCUCUACACUGAACUACAUUCCCAGAUCUCCUUUCAAGUUACUGAAACAGGGCUCACUAAAAGUUGUUCAGGCGGGCCUCCAACUUGAGAUCCUCCUGCCUCUGCCUCCCAUGAAACCAGGAUUAUAAAAAAGUAAUCAAUACCAACAAGUGGCCUGCCUGAAUAAAGAUUUCGGGGUCAAAGACUAUUUAUUCAUUAGUAUUUUAAAAGCAUGUGCUGGAUAAGUUUGUUAGGUUACAAAGAUUAAUUUCAUUUUACCUACUGGAUUCCAAUGAAAGCAUUGCAGAUGAACUUAGUAUUGGAAGAAGACGGAAGGAGCACCUGGAUAUCUAAGAUAUAACCUAUUAAGCAAGAUAUUACAUAAUUUAAAAGGCAAAGAUAUAAGAUUUUAAGUUGUAGGGAAGGCAGUUGUUAAGAAAGACUUAGAUGUUUUUGGAACUGCUGACUACAAACAAGUAUAGUAGUCACUGACUGGGCAAUGAGGCCUACUUCAGAAAACUGCUGCAACAUGCAACCUCAGCAUGUUAAUAAAUAGACACCUAUACACACACUGACUACAUAGCCUCAUACAUACAAUCAUACACAGUUAGUCUUAUUAUUCAACUAUUUCAUGUCUUUUGGUUAGGCAAAUUUAAUCUGCCAUUCCCUAGCUGGACAGCUUCAAUAAAAGCAAGUUUUCUAGAAAGAUGAAAACUUCCAUUAUUUCUUUUACUGUGUGAGAUGCAAAAAUAGUUGUGUUGAUUUUCAGCAGAGGCUGGGAAAUAGGUCAGGAGUCUUCACCAUCAACAAACCUCCAGGAACUGAGUGCUGUUGUACAUUCUGAGAUGAUUCCGUAUGAAUUGCAGUUCAUUUGUAUUUCAUCCCCAGAGUUACUUCAUUUCAGCUUUCACCAAGUUAGGAUUUUGGAAGAACACAGAAAGUUUUCAGACAGGAUCCAUUUCCCCAGUACUCAACCAAAAUUGGAAAGAAUCUCGUUUAAAUGAGAGGCGCUCCAAAACACUUCCUGCACCACUCCACACUGAUACUGGGUGGGGCAUCGAUUCUCUGUAACCUUUCAAGACUCUCUGAAGGCAGACUUCUGUAUGCGAGUCCAUAUUCAUUGUCAAAAGCCUCUGAAAGACAUUUUCAAAAAUGCAAUUGUAAUUUGUUAGUGGAACAAAAGCUAUGUACUUUAAAAAAAUAUACUGGGUCAUGUGACACG